CCCCAUCAUUCAAGCUAUCGAUGACAGAAAAUUAGAUAGACGCACCAUCUUCCGAUGAGCCCUUACCCUGCGUCAUUCUCUCUCGUAGUUCUAGAAACGGAUCGAAUAGCUUGUGGGGACAAAAACAAAGAAAAGAAAAGGGGUACGUGAAAAUUCUAUAAGAAUAUGAGAGAUAUCGAAUCUACCAUCUUCGAGAAGAAAGAACGCGUCUAUGAAGACCUGGACUUCGAGCGUCUGCGUCCGUAAAAUAAUAUAAGAAGCCGUUGCAGUUGCAAGCUCCCAGGCUACAACGGAGGCAUGGAGUCGCGAAGAGCUUCCCUCUUCUUCCUGCUGCUCUUGGUUUGCGUCCAGGUUCACAUCUCUAGGGGUGCAGAAGCCAGGCCACUUCCCUCUAUCAAACAAGAAAGAUAUGUCGAAGUAUUGGAGUCACUGGGUCUGAACUGCAGGUGCUGCGACGGAGCAGGAGGCGAGUGCAGGACCACCUGGGAUUCCACUUGUGCUAAACUGGAUUGCCUUCCCUGGAAAUUCUUGUGAUCAUGGCAUGACUUUUGAAGAGACUGUAAUUAGAAGCACCAAAUAAUACUGCGAAACAUACUUGUAGUGAAAAAAGUAAAAUAAAUAAGCAUUGAAUAGCAUGUAGAACUUGAAGAAAACUUUAUAAAUGCGCACACAGGUUUGUGGAAUCGAUCUGUAUCACGACUACUCAUUUAUCAUUAUGCAAAUCAUGAAAACUAUAGACUUAAGGCUAUGAUUGAAGAAAA